UUUCCGUAGGUGAACCUGCGGAAGGAUCAUUACCAAAACAUAGCUGUCUGGCCGCAAGGCCCUGACGCUUCAACCCUUUGUGAACCAAAACAAACCUUUCGCUUCGGCAGCAUCCGGGUCGGGAAACCGUCACGGUCUCAGCCUGCCGCUAGCACCAAACAAAUAAACUUGCAGUUGAACAUUGUCUGAUAACCAAAUUUUCGAAUGAAAAUUAAAACUUUCAACAACGGAUCUCUUGGUUCCCGCAUCGAUGAAGAACGCAGC
rnacentral:misc_RNA from 1 species